AGAGAAUAAGAGCAUAUGGAGUCAGAUGACUGAGAAAAUGACGAGCUCAAUCUCGCGCACUCUUGUGAGAGUUAGGUGUAUUCCUUUUCAUUUCUGAAGACAAAGGAAUCGUCCGGUUGGAAUAUUAUGGAAGACUUAUGAUAAAAACAUCCUAAAGAUUGAUUCUAUACAUCGUUUGACAUGUUCCUACGAACGUAAAAAACUUUUUUGACUUUUCGUCUGAACUUACUGCGCGAGCACAGUGCAUUUGGAUUACUCUACUGAACGCGCAAACAGAAUUGAGGUAUUUGGACAUAAAGAUUAACUUUAUCGAACAAAACGAACAUUUAUUCUGGAACUGGGAUACCUGGGAGUGCAUUCCGAUGAAGAUCAUCAAAGAUAAGUGACUUCUAUUGACUCCAAAAUGGCGGGCAUUCUGUAUGGCUUGUUUUGAUGUCUGAGCGCUGUACUCAGAUUAUUGCAAAGUUUGCUUUCACCGUAAAGCUUUUUUGAAAUCUGACACAGCGGUUGCAUUAAGGAGAAGUGUAUCUAUAAUUCUAGUUGUAUAUUUUAUCAAUGUUUAUGAUGAGUAUUUCUGUAAAUUGAUGUGCUCAUUCACAGGAAGUUUUGGGAGGCAACAUUUCUGAACAUUACACGCUAAUGUAAAAUGGGGUUUUUGGAUAUAAAUAUGAACUUUAUCGAGCAAAACAUACAUGUAUUGUGUAACAUGAAGUCCUAUGAGUGCAAUCUGAUGAAGAUCAUCAAAGGUUAGUGAUUCAUUUUAGCUGUAUUUCUGUUUUUUGUGACGCCUCUCCUUGCUUGGAAAAUGGCUGUGUGGUUUUUCUUGUCUAGGCGCUGUCCUAACAUAAUCUAAUGUUAUGCUUUCGCCGUAAAACCUUUUGAAAUCGGACAGUGUGGUUGGAUUAACGAGAAGGGUAUCUUUAAAAUGGGAUAUAAUAGUUGUAUGUUUGAAAAAUUAGAAUUAUGAGAUUUUUGUUGUUUUGGAUUUGGCGCCCUGCUAUUUCACUGGCUGUUGGCGAAGUGUGUCCCGCAGGUGGGACGCUAGCGUGCUUAACUCUAAAUUCCCUUCUGUAAGCCAUUAAAUUAAGAGUGCUUGGAAGAUACCCAUCAAGGACGAGACUGGCAAGGCCACCUCCAAGGUGAUGGUGGACAUCUUCAACACCCACGGUUCUCCUGAGGUCAUCUUGAGUGACCAAGGUGUGGUGAAUGGACCAACCAGACCCUCAAGACUGCCAUGGGAAAGUCUCAUGACGGCUACCAGGAAGGGUGGGAGAAUAACCUGAAGGUAAUUAUCUUUGCACACAACAGCAGCAUUCAGGCCUCCACCGAGUACGGACGGGAGCCGCAGCCGUUAACUGAGAUCACUGAAACCUCACCUGAUGUGGUGGAAGAUGUCGAAUCAGAUCAGAACGCCUUCGAGGACCACCUUCAGGCACGGACUGAGAAUGAUGGAGGUUUUUGACCAGACUGAACAUCGACAAGGCGGAGGAGGAGAGCUAUUGGAGCAGAAUCAAGUACUACGACAUCCGGGGCAAAUUACUUGGUUUGGAAGAAGAACGAAAGGAAGGCGAGACCUGGGAAACCUCGCUCCUCUUUCGCUCCUAGCUGAGGGUUACCUCGAUGGAAGCCAACAAUCUUCUCCAGCUGGAGCAGUUGGACGGUUGACCACUGAAAGCACUGACGCCCUACACUUCAAUGAAGCCCAAUAGACAAAGACCAUCAACUGUCCGAGCCACCCAGGAGGUAUCCUAUCCACCAGAACCAAUGAGUUCGGAUCAGUCCAAUUCUCUGUCUUCUGAGUUGAAGGGGGACCAGCUUGAGGCCGGUGGUGGCUAGUCCACUCCAGGAAGCUGAGGUGUGGGAGGUUCCUCUGCCCCCUCUGGACAUCGAGGGGGCCCCAGUGUAUGCUGUUCGAGCCAUCCUGGACUCGAGGCGUCGGGUGAGGGGCCUUCAGUACCUCGUGGAGUGGGAGGGGUACGGUCCGGAGGAGAGAUGCUGGGUGCCGGUGGAGGACGUCCUGGACCCUUCGUUGCUACAGGAUUUCUACCGUCUCCAUCUGGAUCGCCCGGCGCCUCGUCCUCCGGGUCAUCUCCGAGGUCGGUGUGGGCUUGCUGCUGGAGCCGUGCGUUAAGGGGGGGGUACUGUCACGACUUCCGUCGAAGUCGGUCCCUCUCCUUGUUUGGGCGGCGUUCGCGGUCGAUGUCACUGGCCUUCUAGCCAUCGCCGAUCCAGUUUUCAUUUUCCAUUUGUUUUGUCUUUGUCUUACACACCUGGUUUCAAUCCCCCAAUUACCUGUUCAUUAUUUAACCCUCAUGUUUGUUUGUGAGUGAUUGUUUCUUUGUAGGUAGGUCCGUUAUUGUGGGCUCUGUUUUUGUAUUGCAUUUAUUAUAUGUUGAGUAAAAUACGUUUAUUUACUCUUAUCUGCUGUCCACCUGACUCCUAUAUACCGGCUGCACAUUGACCUCCUGACAAUCAUGCUGUUAUUCAACGUUUCUCCAGUCAUGUAAAAUUACGUUGAAUUACAUGAAAAGAGAUAUUUAUAUUGGAAAUAUAUGCUGUAGUGAUGUCCGGAUUGACUCAUAACCUGCAGUCCCUGCGGGUCGGGCGGGCUUACGGUCAGGAAAUAUUGUGUGG
rnacentral:lncRNA from 1 species